rnacentral:lncRNA from 1 species
AAUUGUUUUUAUAUAUCUAAUCGCAGUAUAAUAUUAAUUUUAUAAUUAUGAAAUUAUAUAUUACAGUAAUUUUUUAUUUAAAAUUAAUAAUAAAAUUUAUUAAAUAUUAAUAUAUUAAAAUUAUAAAAAAUAUUUAUUAUUAUAAAAAUAUCUAAUAUUAUCUAAUUACAAUCGAAGGUGCUUAGAUCGCUAGUACGGAAGUGUCAGGACCCCUCUUCACGUUAGCCGACCAUUUAAUUCCUCCAGCACGCAUGCAGGCAGAGUUGCGAAUUGACUGGGCUUGCUGUCCUUCAAGUCACAUCACCGGGCUGGACUCCUCGUACUGGACCCGGACUCCUCGUACUGGACCCAGACUCGCGGGCAGUUCGAUCUGCCCCUGUGUCUGUCUGAGUCAAGACUGAAGAUGCUGGACCGGCUAAAUGGAGUGGGUUUCUGAGACCUUAGGCCUAUUUCACUUUUUCGGGUUUAGCUUCCCCUAAAGUGAGAAAAGUCUAGCGGUUAUCAAAUUAUAUAAUAAUAUAUUUCAUAACUCUCCAAAAUAUUAGGACAUUAAUAUUAUUCUGUGAUUAUAUACGACUGCAUAAUAGCAGUCCAAUAAAAAUAAAUUUAAUUUUUAUAAUUUUAAAUAUUUAUACACUUGUAUAUUAAUUAAUUAAUAUAAUUAUAAUAUUUUAAUAAAUAAAAAAUAAUAAAAAAAUAAUGGCCUAGCGCCACUUAGAUUGGCGCCAGGCCAUUCUUAAAAAAUAAAAAAUAAUGGCAUGGCGCCACUCUAAG